rnacentral:rRNA from 1 species
GAUGAACGCUGGCGGCAUGCUUAACACAUGCAAGUCUACCUGAACUUCGGUUUGGGUGGCGUACGGGUGAGUAACGCGUAAAGAACUUGCCUCACAGAUAGGGACAACAUGUGGAAACGAAUUCUAAUACCUGAUAUUAUGAUUUUAGGGCAUCCUAGAAUUAUGACAGCUAUAUGCACUGUGAGAGAGCUUUGCGUCACAUUAGCUAGGUGGAGAGGUAACGGCUCACCACGGCGAUGAUGGGUAGCCGGCCUGAGAGGGUGAUCGGCCACAAGGGGACAGGGAAACGGCCAGUAGGCAUUCGGGAGGAAGGAGUGGGGAAUAUUGGCCAAUGGACCGAGAGUCUGAUCAAGCAAUUCUGUGUGCAAGAUGAAGUUUUUCGGAAUGUAAAGUGCUUUCAGUUGGGAAGAAAAAAAUGACGGUACCAACAGAAGAAGCGACGGCUAAAUACGUG